CUGUGAAGACAUCUUGUGUUUCUUACAACAUAUUUAUUCGUAAGCGAUACAUAAUCCAUUCACUAAAUAAAUACAUUCUGCUUCUUGUGUGUGGAUGUUGGAGCUACUUUUCUGGAAGGACUGCUUUAGGAAAUAUGUUUUUCUAGGAAGGUUAGAGUAUCAGAGGAUACCCUCUAGAAUUUUCUAGACUACACCACUGGAUGGACAUUGUCAAUAACAAUACUCAGGUAGACUGUGUUGUUGGAACCAUGAGGAAUUGGUACGAUGGGACCAAAGUGUGCAGAGAAAACAUCCCCCACAUUAUGACACCGCCACCAGCAUCCUGCACCGUUGAUACAAGGCAGGAUGAUCCAUGCUUUCAUGUUGUUGAAGCAAAAUUCUGACCCUACCAUCUGAAUGUGGCAGCAGAAAUAGAGACUCAUCAGACCACACAGUUUGUCCAAUCUUUUAUUGUCCAGUUUUGGUGAGUCUGUGUGAAUUGUAGCCUCAAGUUUCCCGUUCUUAACUAACAGGAGUGAUGGACUCGUGGGCCUAAUAAAGUGGCCAGUAAGUCUGGAUUGGCUACAUUCAAUGCUUUGUAUUUUUGGUCAGUUCCACAUUCACUAUAACUGAUUAAAACAGCACCCAUACAUUUCUGACUGUCAAUCUCAUUGCUCCAUCCUUCUUUUAUUUGUGAGUAAGUCACCAAGGCACUUUAAAUUCUCCACUUAUGUCAUGAGCUCCAUACCCACCCAGUCAAGGGAAACCACCUUUUUCUGAAGAGCAAUGGCUUUUGACUUGGAGAUGUGUAUUCUUAUUCCAGCUACUUCACACUCGACUGCAAACUUCCAAAGUGUGGCAGUGUCAAUAAAGGCAGUUGCUGUUUGGUCUGCCCCCACCUUUCAGCUGUGUUGGGGUCCCUCUUGCCAGCCAUCUCAUUAAGACUUUUUUUUUUUCCCCAGCUUGACAACAUUAUUUUUUACUGGUAAGCACCACUGGGAUUCGCAUUCCAUCAGAGAAUUUGUUUUAUUUGGGUUUCAAAUAAUAUUGGCACCAGUGUAGCUCCUUAGCCCUGCACAUCUCUGGAAAGCAGCUCUGUUCUUGUUGACGACAGGGAAUUCUGUCGGACCUUUUCUUGAAGCUUCUGUCCCUGUUUUCAUUCUAAUAUUGCAUCCAUACACCCUUUAAUCAUUUUGGAGUGAGUUUGUGCUAUUAGCAUCUGUGCGCACUCUACUUUCAGUUCGUAUAUUUCUCGUGACCACGUCACUCAUUCUGUCGGGUAACUUGUGUCAGAAGUUUUGUUUUGUCUCGUAGUGCCGCUUGAUAUCGGCGCUCUUAACAAAAGCAGCAGACUCCAUGCUUAUAAUACAAACCGGCCUGUAGAACUCACUGCUGAUAAAUAAAAGCAAAAGCUUCGGUCCACUCAUCUCCAAAGACAUGAUUUUCAGUCCACUUUUCUAAUUGUAGAUUGAGCCAUUGUUCACGCACAUUCCAGAUAACUGUACGUCCCAACUACGUAAACAUUAGCACACCACUUUGAACUUUCGCCGGUUGAAGGACCCCUGUCUGAACGUAGCUGUCCUCGCGUGCGCCUGUUCAAAAAUCGCAGUGUAAAAUCCUACUUUUUAUUAAAAAUGCUUGGCGGUCCGGAUAAAAGGGUCUCGGGGUCUGGACCCGGACGCGGUCCGUCAGUUGGGGACCCCUCCAUUAAACUGUUCUUCAACAACAAAGAAAGUUUAAUACAGUUUGUCAGAAACAAAUUACCAAAGGCAUCUGAUUAAGGAUGCAACACCCAGCAACCCUUCAUUUCUCCUGUAACAAGAAGAUCUUCUCUUUUGAUGAAGUGGAGAAUUCCAUAAGUGUCGUCAAUGCCAUGAUUGAAGCACCAUGUGAGUACACAUCAGGAGAGAAAUGAGAAAAGUGUGCUUAUGGAUGAACAUUUAUUUCUCUUGAUUAUUCACUUAAUAAGUGUCAGGGCUCUGCCACUCCUGACUCAGCUCUGACUGUCACUAAUCACCAUAUUGCCUUUACCUGCGCUCUCCCCUUUAUAUUGCUCUGCUCUCCACCUGCCCUCUGCCAGAACGUUGUCAGUCCUCUGCUAUGCCUGCUCUGCUCAAGCUUCAAGUUUGCCUCCCUGCCCAGCUCUGCCAAGCUCAGCUCUGAUCAACCUUCAAGUCUGCCUGCCUGCCCAGCUCUGCUCAGCUCAGCUCAGCUCUACUCAACCUUCAAGUUUGCCUGCCUGCCCAGCUCUGCCCAGCUCUGCCCAGCUCUGCUCAGCUCAGCUCUGCUCAACCUUCAAGUUUGCCUGUCUGCCCAGCUCUGCCUCCAAAUCAGCCAGCCCUGCCCCGUCCAAACUGUCUGCUCUGCCUAGAUCCUGCUGCCCUGCGCUAUCUGCCCAGCCUGAGAUAUCCGCUCCGUGCUGCCCUUCCCCAUGUGAAGACUCAAGACCUGUUCCUGUUCUGCCAUCCUGACAAUAAACCUGUUCUUAUCUCUACA